GUCUCUGAUGAUGAAUCAACAAAUAAUAACUUUCGUUCUUCUGAUUUAAUAAGCAUGUUGAAAAUAUUUUGGAGACCUGAACUGAAGAGAU